ensembl:lncRNA
AGAACGUUAGCGUUCACAUGGAGGGGAGGCACACCACGGACAGUGACCACGUGGGGCCCGAUCCUCAGAGUGGGGGUUAAAUCCCGGGCGGGAAGCAGAACCGGGAGCUGGGCUGAUACUGGAGUGGUGGCUACUGAAAACCAUCAUUGAGCACCUGCUGUUUGCCUGUCCCAUCAAGGAGAUGAAUUGCUUCGUCUAAGGUCCGGUGGCCAAGACCUCAUGUCUUUGCGGGAAGGAGGGAGGGUGGCGAUUCUCUGCCUGCAGGGCCGGUGGAAAAGGAACAAAGAAGCUGCAUGAAAAGGGAAGACAUGAGCUACAUCAUUCCGAGAGAAGCGAAACAGGGAGAGGGGCCGCCCUGGCUUCCCAGAGGACCAGAGCUGGGCGCUGGACCGGAACCCAGAGCACCUCCUACUGGCCAGAUGAAAAUCUGGAUAUCCACAAACAAAUGAAGAGCGCUAGAAACGG